ensembl:lncRNA
ACAGUCGAAGGUUGCUCAACUCCAUUCCUGAAGAGGAAAGGGCCAAAGGUUUUCAGGAUUUGGACUUGGAUGAAGAUAACUUGCCAAUGGAGAGAGCAUUGGGAAUUCAGUGGUGUGCUGAAACGGAUCAGUUCAAGUUCAAAAUUAACCUCAAAGUUCGACCACACACUAGGAGAGGCCUGCUUUCCCUCGUCUGUUCCAUUUUUGAUCCGAUGGGUUUUCUUGCUCCAGUGGUACUGCCUGCCAAAAGAAUCUUGCAAGACUUAUGCCGGCAGAAGUAUAGCUGGGAUGAAGAUCUGCCUGAUAACGUCAUUAAGAGUUGGAAAAGGUGGAUGUCUGGAUUGAAACAGCUUGAGACCUUUGGAGUUGACAGAUGUGUUAAGUCAAAGCAGUUUGGUGUGCCAGUCUUUGCACAGUUACAUCAUUUUGCUGAUGCUAGUCAAGACGCAUAUGGAACAACAAGUUACCUACUGCUACGCACUGCAAGUGGUGAAGCUCAAUCCACCCUGAUUAUGGCAAAGGCAAGGGUUGCGCCCUUAAAGUCUCCAACCAUACCAAGAAUGGAAUUGACUGCAGCCACAGUUGCUGUCAAGAUGGACAAGCUUCUGAAGAAAGAGCUUGAACUGGAACUUAACGAGUCAAUUUUUUGGACAGAUAGCACGGCUGUGCUGAAAUAUUUGAACAGCGAAGGCACAAGAUUCAAGACUUUCGUUGCCAAUAGGAUCACAACAAUCCUGGAGCACUCUCAGACUUCACAGUGGAGAUAUGUGAAUACCAAUCUGAACCCUGCUGAUCAUGUCUCGAGAGGACAGACUGUUGAAGCGUUCUUGAAUAAUGAAAGCUGGCUUUCAGGACCAAGUUUCCUGCUCUGUACACAAGACCAGUGGCCCAAAAAUCCAGAUUUUGGAAUGCUGGACAUUGAGGACUCUGAGGUUAAAAAGGUAGUUGAAGUGCAUGUUAUUCAGACGCAAGAGUCCAAAGAUGCUAUGGAACAGUUGAUGACCUAUUACUCAUCCUGGACAAAACUAAAACGCGCUGUCGCCUGGUUUCUGAAAUUUAAAGAUUUGCUUAAGGAACUGAAAGCAAAGAGAAAGGAACCAAACUCACAUGGAGAAAACAAAAUUAAUCAGUUCAAGAAAGCUUUCAAAGGAACGCACCUAACCUGUGAAGGUUUGACUGAAGCAGAAAGAGAAAUUGUGAAAUACUCUCAAAAACAAAGCUUCAAAGAAGACUUGAAUAUGCUAAAGGAACAUCAAAGGGUAAAGAAGAGUAGUUCGCUCUACAAGUUGAACCCCGUACUUCAAAAUGGAGUCAUUAGAGUCGGUGGAAGGAUGAGCCGCGCAGCAAUGCCAGAGGAUUCCAAGCAGCAAGCCAUCUUAUCAAAAGAUUCACAUAUCACGAGGCUUGUGCUGAAGCACAUUCACGAUGUUACAGCUCAUGCUGGGAGAAAUCAUAUGUU